UACGAAGGGUGCAAGCGUUACUCGGAAUUACUGGGCGUAAAGCGUGCGUAGGCGGUUCGUUAAGUCUGUCGUGAAAGCCCUGGGCUCAACCUGGGAAUUGCGAUGGAUACUGGCGAGCUAGAGUACGGUAGAGGAUGGUGGAAUUCCCGGUGUAGCGGUGAAAUGCGUAGAGAUCGGGAGGAACACCCGUGGCGAAGGCGGUUCUCUGGGACGGUACUGACGCUGAGACGCGAAAGCGUGGGGAGCGAACAGG
rnacentral:rRNA from 1 species